rnacentral:rRNA from 1 species
UACGUAGGGGGCAAGCGUUGUUCGGAAUUACUGGGCGUAAAGGGCGCGUAGGCGGCACGGCAAGUCGGGUGUGAAAGCCCGGGGCUCAACCCCGGAACGUCUUUCGAAACUGCCGAGCUAGAGUGCGGAAGGGGCAACUGGAAUUCCCAGUGUAGCGGUGAAAUGCGUAGAUAUUGGGAAGAACACCUGAGGCGAAGGCGGGUUGCUGGGCCGACACUGACGCUGAGGCGCGAAAGCCAGGGGAGCGAACGGG